rnacentral:rRNA from 1 species
AUUGGACGCUGGCGGAAUGCUUUACACAUGCAAGUCGAACGGCAGCACGGGGGCAACCCUGGUGGCGAGUGGCGAACGGGUGAGUAAUACAUCGGAACGUGCCCGGUCGUGGGGGAUAACGUAGCGAAAGUUACGCUAAUACCGCAUACGAUCUGAGGAUGAAAGCGGGGGACCUUCGGGCCUCGCGCGAUCGGAGCGGCCGAUGUCAGAUUAGGUAGUUGGUGGGGUAAAGGCCUACCAAGCCGACGAUCUGUAGCUGGUCUGAGAGGACGACCAGCCACACUGGGACUGAGACACGGCCCAGACUCCUACGGGAGGCAGCAGUGGGGAAUUUUGGACAAUGGGCGCAAGCCUGAUCCAGCCAUUCCGCGUGCAGGACGAAGGCCUUCGGGUUGUAAACUGCUUUUGUAUGGAACGAAAAGGCUCUGGCUAAUACCUGGGGCUCAUGACGGUACCGUAAGAAUAAGCACCGGCUAACUACGUG